CCUACGGGAGGCAGCAGUAGGGAAUCUUCCACAAUGGACGGAAGUCUGAUGGAGCAACGCCGCGUGAGUGAAGAAGGGAUUCGGCUCGUAAAGCUCUGUUGGUAGUGAAGAAAGAUAGAGGUAGUAACUGGCCUUUAUUUGACGGUAAUUACUUAGAAAGUCACGGCUAACUACGUUCCAGCAGCCGCGGUAAUACGUAGGUGGCAAGCGUUGUCCGGAUUUGUUGGGCGUAAAGGGAGUGCAGGCGGUUCAAUAAGUCUGAUGUGAAAGCCUUCGGCUCAACCGGAGAAUUGCAUCAGAAACUGUUGAACUUGAGUGCAGAAGAGGAGAGUGGAACGCCAGGUGUAGCGGUGGAAUGCGUAGAUAUAUGGAAGAACACCAGUGGCGAAGGCGGCUCUCUGGUCUGCAACUGACGCUGAGGCUCGAAAGCAUGGGUAGCGAACAGGAUUAGAUACCCUUGUAGUC
rnacentral:rRNA from 1 species